AAAAAUUGUAUUUAAAUUAUCAAAAAACUUUCCGUUCUGAGUUCUCAAUGAACAGACAAGAAGCGGUCUUUGUUGCACCAAGCCAAACGCUUGGAAGAUUCCGCUGUGGACGAUGGAAUGAGACGGGAGGGGUCAUCCAUUGUCUUGCAAACCUGCCCAAGCUGAAUCCAGGACGAACCCAAACCUGAGGGAUCUUCUUCUUUUGUCUUCAAUGUGACCGACAACAAUGACUAUUUACAUACUCCCCAUUCCUGCUGAGACAUGUGUUGUUGCGUAAACAUUGAAAUCUCUAAAUAAAAGAGGAGACGGAAACCUUCUUCGUCAGAGCGUGGUGCAGGACUGUGCAGAGAGUACAGUGACCAUGUCUUUCCUCAAUUGAGUCCAAAUUUAAUUCUGUCUCUGUUUGAUUCCUUGCCUUUUGUCUUGUGUAACAGAUGUCCUGUAUUUGAACCUGACAUCUAAUUGGUCCUUCGAGCCGGAUUCCAACACGUCUGACGAUUCCAGCAUGAGUGAGUGAAACCAGAGGACCAUGGCAACCAAAUCCUGAUUGAGGAACUGCUUUUUCUUCAUUUCGGGCUGGAAUUGAAAGACUGACGGAAAAUCCGAGGACAACAGGAAGGAAGGCAGAGAGCACGAUUAGCCCAGCAGAUGAUAAAGCUGUUCAGAUGCACCUCCUGGCGGACGAUAAGGAAGAUGAAUCUGAUGAUGGGGAUACCUACCUGGAUGGUGUUCCUGAUCUGUUUCCAGACCCGAGUAACGAUGAGAAAAAAAAUUGAUGUUGAACUCUGAGUGUGAACAUAACUUGGCCCUAGGGAAAUGAACCAUUAACUGAAAAUCGCAAGAAGAAGUUAUUGGGGAUAAGAAGAUUCUGGGGAAGUUGUUUGAUAAACAGGAGGGAAAUGUCAGAAAAAUUGUAUUUAAAUUAUCAAAAAACUUUCCGUUCUGAGUUCUCAAUGAACAGACAAGAAGCGGUCUUUGUUGCACCAAGCCAAACGCUUGGAAGAUUCCGCUGUGGACGAUGGAAUGAGACGGGAGGGGUCAUCCAUUGUCUUGCAAACCUGCCCAAGCUGAAUCCAGGACGAACCCAAACCUGAGGGAUCUUCUUCUUUUGUCUUCAAUGUAACCGACAACAAUGACUAUUUACAUACUCCCCAUUCCUGCUGAGACAUGUGUUGUUGCGUAAACAUUGAAAUCUCUAAAUAAAAGAGGAGACGGAAACCUUCUUCGUCAGAGCGUGGUGCAGGACUGUGCAGAGAGUACAGUGACCAUGUCUUUCCUCAAUUGAGUCCAAA